rnacentral:rRNA from 1 species
GACGGAGGGGGCAAGCGUUGUUCGGAAUUAUUGGGCGUAAAGGGCUCGUAGGCGGAUCGGCAAGUCUGACGUGAAAUCUACACUGCUCAACAGGGAGAGGUCGCUGGAUACUACCGAUCUUGAGUAUGGUAGAGGACCAUGGAAUUCCGCGUGUAGCGGUGGAAUGCGUAGAUAUGCGGAAGAACACCGGUGGCGAAGGCGGUGGUCUGGGCCAUUACUGACGCUGAGGAGCGAAAGCCAGGGGAGCAAACGGG